GAAGUAAUGGCCUAGUUUGAAAAAACAGUGUUAGAUGAGCAUCAUGGAGACUCUUAAAAUGGCUAAGGUUGGGAAAGAUAAACAUGAAUUUCAGCCUCAGUUUUCCCUCUGAAAAGGAGGCUUCGGAGGUGAAGUAAGUUUGGACAUUAGUAACGCGUUUUUUUUUUUCCUUCAAGCGUUGCAAAGUGAUUAAAAAUCGCAAAAGAGCCCCUCUCUCCUUGUGAAGUCCUCCAUUGUCUCUCCAUAGCUUGUGUAUGUGUACUUAACAGUGUGUCUUACUCGACUUCCAGGACCGUGAACUGUUGUUAACCUCCUCGUCAUCUGCCUUGCCUCCAUGCGCUCUUUGGACGUUUGGAGACGUCUUCGAAAUGAAACAUUCCUUUAGUGAGGACACUUGGGUAAAAUUUAGUAAUCUAUCAGAAGACCGAAUUAUUGGAACAAACGACGCAACUGCUCAUGUAAGUAUUGUAUAGUCAGAGGGACACAGUCAGCUGGUACACAUGCGCAUUAGAUACCAUUUCAUAGCUAAUUUGCAUAUCACAGAGACGUGAUCCAUACUUUUUUAAACCAAAUGUGAUAAAAAUAAUAUGAUUAAACGAUUGAGAAUCAAGCAAAACACUGAAGAUUGCAGGAACAACACAAGCUUCUGCACAUGAAGGAGACUGAGGCAUAAGAUUUUGUUGUAGCAGGGGCAAGUUUGCAAGAGCAGUGCACACAAUGUGGCAUUGAAAAUUGAGGCUAUUUUGUCCUUGCUUCUUGACCCUCGAAUUCAAACCAGCUGAAUUUCGUGCGACAUGUUCUGGGACAAAUGUUUAGUGAAUUCUGCUCCCCUAGGGAGUUUGUGAGUUUUGACCCACGACACGUGACGUGUUCUCCUCCAAUCGGAACGCGUAUUUGAGUUGGGAGGUAUAACAACUGUCAACAGCAUUCGAGAAAUUGAGUGGCUCAGAAUUGCUGCCAUGUACAGUCGACCAUCCACUAACGGCCACCUCUCUACAAUGGUCACUUUUCUUGGUCCCGACGGAAAGUCCAUACAUUCGCUCUUAUUUUAACCUCUCUAGAGCGGCAACGGCCUCUAAAACCGGUCCAAACUGCUAAAAUAGGGACGUUAAGAUAUGGUAGGGCUAGGUUGUAGUACGGCGGCAGUUAGUGAAGAUCGCUUCCGGUGACGUCAUGAGGCGCGUGCCAGUACGGCUUUCCCACCGUAGCCUUGCUACGUACUCUUCACUCUCACGUACUCUUCACUACGUGAGUAUAAGCCUGCUGUUUACUUCUCAUUUUAACGCUU